rnacentral:rRNA from 1 species
GGGCGUGAAGCUAGUCUGACGGAGCACGCCGCGUGAGGGAUGAAGGCCUCUGGGCUGUAAACCUCUUUUAUCAAGGAAGAAGAUCUGACGGUACUUGAUGAAUAAGCCACGGCUAAUUCCGUGCCAGCAGCCGCGGUAAUACGGGAGUGGCAAGCGUUAUCCGGAAUUAUUGGGCGUAAAGCGUCCGCAGGCGGCCCUUCAAGUCUGCUGUUAAAAAGUGGAGCUUAACUCCAUCAUGGCAGUGGAAACUGUUGGGCUUGAGUGUGGUAGGGGCAGAGGGAAUUCCCGGUGUAGCGGUGAAAUGCGUAGAUAUCGGGAAGAACACCAGUGGCGAAGGCGCUCUGCUGGGCCAUCACUGACGCUCAUGGACGAAAGCCAGGGGAGCGAAAGGGAUUAGAUACCCCCUGUAGUACAA